rnacentral:rRNA from 1 species
AUUGAACGCUGGCGGCAGGCCUAACACAUGCAAGUCGAGCGAGCGGCGGACGGGUGAGUAUUGCCUGGGAAUUGCCCAGUCGAGGGGGAUAACAGUUGGACACGACUGCUAAUACCGCAUAAGAUUGGAGUGCCCAGGUGGGAUUAGCUAGGUGGUGAGGUACUGGCUCACCAAGGCGACGAUCCCUAGCGUGUCUGAGAGGAUGAUCAGCCACACUGGAACUGAUACACGGUCCAGCCUCCUACGGUAGGCAGUAGUGGGGAAUAUUGCACAAUGGGGGAAACCCUGAUGCAGCCAUGCCGCGUGUGUGAAGAAGGCCUUCGGGUUGUAAAGCACUUUCAGCUAGGAUGCGUUACUCGCAGAAGAAGCACCGGCUAACUCCGUGCCAGCAGCCGCGGUAAUAC